rnacentral:rRNA from 1 species
UACAGAGGUCCCAAGCGUUGUUCGGAUUCACUGGGCGUAAAGGGUGCGUAGGCGGUCGGGUAAGUCUGAUGUGAAAUCUCACAGCUUAACUGUGAAACUGCAUUGGAUACUAUUCGGCUUGAGAGUUGGAGGGGGGACUGGAAUUCUUGGUGUAGCAGUGAAAUGCGUAGAUAUCAAGAGGAACACCAGUGGCGAAGGCGAGUCCCUGGACAACUUCUGACGCUGAGGCACGAAAGCGUGGGGAGCGAACAGG